rnacentral:rRNA from 1 species
GAUGAACGCUGGCGGCGUGCCUAAUACAUGCAAGUCGAGCGAACAGACGAGGAGCUUGCUCCUCUGACGUUAGCGGCGGACGGGUGAGUAACACGUGGAUAACCUACCUAUAAGACUGGGAUAACUUCGGGAAACCGGAGCUAAUACCGGAUAAUAUAUUGAACCGCAUGGUUCAAUAGUGAAAGACGGUUUUGCUGUCACUUAUAGAUGGAUCCGCGCCGCAUUAGCUAGUUGGUAAGGUAACGGCUUACCAAGGCAACGAUGCGUAGCCGACCUGAGAGGGUGAUCGGCCACACUGGAACUGAGACACGAUCCAGACUCCUACGGGAGGCAGCAGUAGGGAAUCUUCCGCAAUGGGCGAAAGCCUGACGGAGCAACGCCGCGUGAGUGAUGAAGGUCUUCGGAUCGUAAAACUCUGUUAUUAGGGAAGAACAAAUGUGUAAGUAACGAUGCACGUCUUGACGGUACCUAAGCAGAAAGCCACGGCUAACUACGU